GAGAUCCACACACCAGCCACUAGCACUAGUUCUAGGCAGUAUAUUUCUCAUAUAAGUUAAUGGGAAGCAGCUGCCAGUGGGAAGAACAUUCUGACUGCCCUUUAUGAGAUGUACUAUAAUUAAUAUGCCCCGUUGCCAUGAACAUAAUGUGGUUUCAUGACACAUCCUUAUAGCAGUAUAACAUGAUAUGAUGUUUAAUAAAUCCAAUGUAACCCUUGUGAAUACAAUUUCUUUAUUCCACUAGGAGGAAGUGGCUUGGAGACGACUCAGGCUGAUGCUGCAAAGAUUAACCCUUUGGAUAUUAACAACUACGAGUUCUACGGAAAGCUCGGGGAAGGAGCCUUUGCCACUACUGUGUUGGCGACAUUACGUGGCAGCAAGAAACAUCUCGCCAUAAAGAUCCAGGAGAAAUCAGAGGAGGAUUAUGACAUCAUCCUUACAGAAUCCGAAAUUUUCAAGAUUGCCAAGGACAGUCCUUUCCUAUGCCAUGGCUUGGCUGCUUUCCAAUCAGAGCAUCGCGCCUUCCUCGUCCUGGAAUACCUGAGUGGGGGAAACCUGGAAGAUCUGAUAGAUGAAUCCGGCUACCUGCCAAGGCCCUCUGUAGAGUUCUACUCUGCUGAGAUAGCAUGCGGCCUGGAAUUUCUUCAUGACAGGGAAAUUGUUCA